rnacentral:rRNA from 1 species
CCUACGGGAGGCUGCAGUGGGGGAUAUUGCACAAUGGGGGAAACCCUGAUGCAGCGACGCCGCGUGUGGGAAGACGGUCCUCUGGAUUGUAAACCACUGUCCCCAGGGACGAAGAUGACGGUACCUGGGGAGGAAGCUCCGGCUAACUACGUGCCAGCAGACGCGGUAAUACGUAGGGAGCGAGCGUUGUCCGGAAUUACUGGGUGAAAAGGGAGCGUAGGCGGGACUGCAAGUUGGGUGUCAAAUCUACCGGCUCAACCGGUAGCCGCACUCAAAACUGCAGUUCUUGAGUGAAGUAGAGGCAGGCGGAAUUCCUAGUGUAGCGGUGAAAUGCGUAGAUAUUAGGAGGAACACCAGUGGCGAAGGUGGCCUGCUGGGCUUUUACUGACGCUGAGGCUCGAAAGUGUGGGGAGCAAACAGGAUUAGAUACCCGAGUAGUC